rnacentral:rRNA from 1 species
CCCUUAGAUGUUCUGGGCUGCACGCGCGCUACACUGAUGCGCUCAACGAGUUUACGACCUUGCCCGGAAGGGUUGGGUAAUCUUUUUAAAACGCAUCGUGAUGGGGAUAGAUUAUUGCAAUUAUUAAUCUUUAACGAGGAAUUCCUAGUAAGCGCAAGUCAGCAGCUUGCGUUGAUUACGUCCCUGCCCUUUGUACACACCGCCCGUCGCUACUACCGAUUGAAUGGUUUAGCGAGAUCUUCGGAUUGGCGCCACUGCGGCUCAGCAAUGGGCUCGGUGGAUGCCGAAAAGUUGAUCAAACUUGAUCAUUUAGAGGAAGUAAAAGUCGUAACA